GACCUUUGCUCUGCUUCCCUGCAGAGCAGUGUGUGUGUGGGGAGAAAUUCCUUCCUCUUGGCCGGGGGCUGCUAGGUGUGAAUUUCCCAGCCGUUGGGGGUUUCCAGUCACAGAUCCUUUACAUUAAAGGAGGAGGAAUCGUAUCCCUUUACAUAGUUUGUGAUCUCUCUAGUGGUGCUCAAUGGUUUAUAUUUUGCAAGCUGCCAGAACAGGCUGUAUAGAGUGCCCAGGAUCACUGUAAUGGAUUUAAAUCCAGGAGAAGGGCUGGAUGGAGUUAAAAGCUGCUGUCCCCAUACAUAGAUUACCACUGAAAGUCUUAAACGAUUGUAUUCCUUCAUCAACCCCUCAACCAUUGCGGAAGAAUCCAACAUAUAUAAUGUCACUGUACAUUGAGCUUUUAAUAAUUUAACACAGCUCUUAGGUAAUAACAAAGUGAUAUUAAGAGUUGUGUUCUCCUGUUGGGAGAUUUCAGUUUGUGCUUGUAAAGCUCCUUCUACACUUUUUGUCCUCAGGCAAUUGUGUGUACAGCUCCUAGGAGACACAUCUCACUGACUGUCAGCACAUCUACAACUGAGCUGGGAGAUGUGAUUCCCAGAAUGCACAGCUGCACCCACUCGAGCUGUGUCCAAGCUAGUGCCUAAAAUGAGCAGUGUCUUCACUGCACCAUGGGCUAGCCACACCAAGUACAAUCCCACCUGCCCCUUGGGUAUGUACACGGGCAGCUAGCUGCAGACAUUCUGCUGCAGACAUUCUGCUGUUUUUAGGUGCUAGCUUGAGCACAGCUAGCCCCAGUCUGUCUACGUGAGCUGGGAAUCGCACCUCACAGCUCAAAUGGGUUCAGAAGAGGCAGUUAGAUGUGUACCUGCUCAAAUUUGUGCCAGCAAGUUACAAGGAUGCGCAAAAAAAAAAAAAGUGGUAACUUUUUUCAGGGGCAAAUUGACUCCACAAAAGAGAACUGAAUAUUUACCCUUCAAUAUAAACUUUUGUGGCCAGUGAAAAUGAAGAUUUUAAUGAAAAAGGACUUAGGAAUGUUGUAGUUACCAGACAACCCUUAAAAUAUCUCCAGUAAUAGAAUACACAAAUCAGGCAGAGGAGUAGAUUUCACAACUGUGGUGCCUUUCAAAAGCUGAACAAUGAGAACAAACAUGAUAUUUUGCCUGCUGGACCAGGGUAGCUGUUAUAUUAUUGUUGCUCUGCAAGCGUCCCCCUGGAAAGGGCCUCUCUUUGCUCCAGCUUUCCAGUAACAAUACUCUAG